GGGCAAGGGUGGGAGAAGCUAGGGGGGGGAUGCGAAGGCGAGAGAAAGAGAGCGAGGAAAAAUGGGAAGGGCGAGAAAGAAAUAGCUAUUUCCUUCUCGCCCCUUCCAUUUUUCCUCGCUCUCUUUCUCUCGCCUUCGCAUCCCCCCUAGCUCCUCCCACCCUCGCCCU
rnacentral:snoRNA from 1 species